rnacentral:rRNA from 1 species
UACGAAGGGGGCUAGCGUUGCUCGGAAUUACUGGGCGUAAAGCGCACGUAGGCGGCUCUUUAAGUCGGGGGUGAAAUCCUGGAGCUCAACUCCAGAACUGCCUUCGAUACUGUAGAGCUUGAGUUCGGGAGAGGUGAGUGGAACUGCGAGUGUAGAGGUGAAAUUCGUAGAUAUCUGGAGGAAUACCGGUGGCGAAGGCGGCAUCCUGGACCGGCAUUGACGCUGAGGAGCGAAAGCCAGGGGAGCAAACGGG